rnacentral:rRNA from 1 species
GAUGAACGCUGACAGAAUGCUUAACACAUGCAAGUCAACUUGAACUUCGGUUUGGGUGGCGGACGGGUGAGUAACGCGUAAAGAACUUGCCUCACAGUUAGGGACAACAUUUGGAAGCGAAUGCUAAUACCUGAUAUUAUGAUUUUAGGGCAUCCUAGAAUUAUGAAAGCUAUAUGCGCUGUGAGAGAGCUUUGCGUCCCAUUAGCUAGUUGGAGAGGUAACGGCUCACCAAGGCGAUGAUGGGUAGCCGGCCUGAGAGGGUGAACGGCCACAAGGGGACUGAGACACGGCCCUUACUCCUACGGGAGGCAGCAGUGGGGAAUAUUGGACAAUGGACCAAGAGUCUGAUCCAGCAAUUCUGUGUGCACGAUGAAGUUUUUCGGAAUGUAAAGUGCUUUCAGUUGGGAAGAAAAAAAUGACGGUACCAACAGAAGAAGUGACGGCUAAAUACGUG